UGGGGUAGUGUGUUAUUACUGCAAAGAACCGGGGCAUACAAAACGCACAUGUCGAAAACUUCAGAAUAAACAACAAUGGAAUAACUCUGCCCACGUGGCUACACAAGCCAGUGCCCACGUGGCUACACAAGCCAGUGACACAGUCACGAUUUCUGCUGCUGAGUAUGCCCAGUUAAAAUCUACUACACCGUCUGUGAGUGCCGCAGCUACAACAGGAUCUUUUGACGAGGCGGAUUAUUGGUAGAGGUUAUGAAUCUGGCGGGCACUAUAUACUGGAUGAUCGGGUGUCUCAUGCGGUAGCUUGCGCUAGCAGUCAUUCUCCCUUUGAAGUUCAUUGUCGAUUGGGUCAUUUGUCUCUAUCUUCUCUUAAGAAAGUUUAUCCUCAAUUUCAGCAUUUGUCGUCUUUAGAUUGUGAGUCAUGUCAGUUUGCCAAGCAUCAUCGUCUUCCUUUAGUGUCUCGUGUCAAUAAACGGGUUUCAUCCCCUUUUGAGUUAGUCCAUUCUGAUGUUUGGGGUCCUUGUCCUGUAGAGUCCAAAGCAGGGUUUAAAUACUUUGUUACAUUUGUUGAUGAUUAUUCCCGGACAACUUGGUUAUAUUUAAUGAAACAUCGUUCUGAAUUGUUUUCCCA